UGGUGGAGCGAUUUGUCUGGUUAAUUCCGAUAACGAACGAGACUCUAGCCUAUUAAAUAGUUCGCCGAUUUUUCGAGUCGGCGUCAACUUCUUAGAGGGACAAGUGUC
rnacentral:rRNA from 1 species